rnacentral:rRNA from 1 species
UCAGAUUGAAGGCGGGCGGCAUGCUUCACACAUGCAAGUCGAAAGGCAGCGGGGGCUUCGUCCUUCCGGCGAGUGGCGAACGGGUGAGUAAUGCAUCGGAACGUACCCAGUGGUGGGGGAUAAAGUAGCGAAAGAUACUAUAAUACCGCAUACGCCCUGAGGGGGAAAGCGGGGGAUCUUUUGGGACCUCGCGCGAUUGGAGCGGCCGAUGUCGGAUUAGCUAGUUGGUGGGGUAAAGGCUUACCAAGGCGACGAUCCGUAGCUGGUCUGAGAGGAUGAUCAGCCACACUGGGACUGAGACACGGCCCAGACUCCUACGGGAGGCAGCAGUGGGGAAUUUUGGACAAUGGGGGAAACCCUGAUCCAGCCAUGCCGCGUGAGUGAAGAAGGCCUUCGGGUUGUAAAGCUCUUUCAGUUGGGAAGAAAAGGUGCCCUCUAACAUAGGUGUCGCUGACGUCCACA